UUACCCCGCGGCUACUAAGCAUAUCAAUAAGCGGAGGAAAAGAAACCAACAGUGAUUGCCCUAGUAACGGCGAGUGAAGCGGCAACAGCUCAAAUUUGAAAUCUGCCUUCGGGCCGAGUUGUAAUUUGUAGAGGAAGCUUUUGGUGAGGCACCUUCUGAGUCCCCUGGAACGGGGCGCCAUAGAGGGUGAGAGCCCCGUAUAGUCGGAUGCCGAUCCAAUGUAAAGCUCCUUCGACGAGUCGAGUAGUUUGGGAAUGCUGCUCAAAAUGGGAGGUAAAUUUCUUCUAAAGCUAAAUACCGGCCAGAGACCGAUAGCGCACAAGUAGAGUGAUCGAAAGAUGAAAAGCACCUUGAAAAGGGGGUUAAAUAGCACGUGAAAUUGUUGAAAGGGAAGCGUUUGCGGCCAGACUUGCGCCGCCCCGAUCAUCCGGUGUUCUCACCGGUGCACUCGGGGCGGCGCAGGCCAGCAUCGGUUUCGGCGGGGGGAUAAAGGUCCGGGGAACGUAGCUCCUCCGGGAGUGUUAUAGCCCCGGGCGUAAUGCCCUCGCCGGGACCGAGGUUCGCGCAUCUGCAAGGAUGCUGGCGUAAUGGCCGCCAACGACCCGUCUUGAAACACGGACCAAGGAGUCAAGGUUUUGCGCGAGUGUUUGGGUGUAAAACCCGCACGCGUAAUGAAAGUGAACGUAGGUGAGAGCUUCGGCGCAUCAUCGACCGAUCCUGAUGUAUUCGGAUGGAUUUGAGUAAGAGCGUUAAGCCUUGGACCCGAAAGAUGGUGAACUAUGCUUGGAUAGGGUGAAGCCAGAGGAAACUCUGGUGGAGGCUCGCAGCGGUUCUGACGUGCAAAUCGAUCGUCAAAUCUGAGCAUGGGGGGCGAAAGACUAAUCGAACCAUCUAGUAGCUGGUUACCGCCGAAGUCCCCCUCUCUCAAGAAAU
rnacentral:rRNA from 1 species